AGCUCAGUGGUAGAGUGCUUGCCUUACAUGCAUGAGGCCCUGGGUUUGAUUCCUUG
rnacentral:tRNA from 1 species